GUCCACGCCGUAAACGAUGGGUGCUAGGUGUGGGGGUGUCGACUCCCUCCGUGCCGCAGCUAACGCAUUAAGCACCCCGCCUGGGGAGUACGGCCGCAAGGCUAAAACUCAAGGAAUUGACGGGGCCCCGCACAAGCAGCGGAGCAUGUGGUUUAAUUCGAUGCAACGCGAAGAACCUUACCAGGGCUUGACAUGCACUGGAAAGCCGUAGAAAUACGGCCCUCCUUCGGGACCAGUACACAGGUGGUGCAUGGCUGUCGU
rnacentral:rRNA from 1 species